UCUUGAAAUCCCAUUUCAAACAAACAUUCAACUGCUCCUCUGACAGGCAACAGCCUCGUGGAAAAUGCUGGAUUUCCAAUCCGAAUUAAUCUAUAUUUUUCUUCAUAAGGAUUCCUGAAGAAAUUGAAAGUUUUAAUUACGUUUGCAAAUUAAGUAAACACUAAGAAGCUGGGUAACUGCACUAUGCAGCUUUAGUCGUUCAUGAGAAUUUUUUUUAAGUACAGUUUCAUUUACAACAUUUAGGCAGUAUAUGAAAGGUAUCUUAAGCUUAAACUUAAUUCAUGCCCUUCUGCAUUGAAUUUUGAGCGUUACAAGUUGGUUGCAAACUUUAGUUUGCACCUGAAGUUUAUAAAUACGUAUUUUGCAGUUGCAUCCAGCAGCACUCAGUCUGCAGUGACGCUUCAAGGCCCACCCCUCCCCGUAGCGCUGUAACUGCACUCCGCUUGAUGCUGGAUGAUCUCAGGCCCACCACAGAGGCCAUGCUACACUUCCUGGUGCUGGGGUGAAACUAGCGUGGUCUCUCUGCUUCCUGGAGAUCUGUUGGGCUUCCUCUCAGUUCCCCUCUUGUCUUCCAACUCUUGUAAACCUUCUUCUUUCGCUUCUUUAUGAUGAGUCAUCCCAGGACCCGUUGUGGCGUCUCCGCUUCUGACAGCGCAGCUUUUACAAGCGGCAGACAAACCAGGUACAGACCGAGAGGCUGCCCAUACAUCCUGAGGUGCCCACAGACAACACCAAGGUCAACUGGGCACACAUACCGCGGAGAUGCCCCUCGCAGAAACUCGGCUAGAAUUAACUCUUGACACUAACGUUGGCAAGUCGGACGACGAGGAAAGGAACAGAAAACGAACUUGUAACACCCUCUCCAUGCCUUUUAUAUAGGCACGGGACCAUUACUUUUGUCUGCCCUCUCAAAUUUAAAGACGUGUUGCUACGCUUCUAAGAUACGUACGCGAUCAAUUCAAGUAUAGCAUCUGCAAAUCGUGGAUUGUGGAAGUGCUUAAAGCAAAGUCAUGGAAAAAAAAAUAGAAAAUCAAGUGCCAACGUCCAACAAAUCGCUGAACAACCUGUGUUCCCAAAUGGAAGCUUAGUAUAGACUCCUGAUUUUUCAAAAAUACUACAGAAGUAUUUUUUUUCUUUAUUAAAUAGCACUUUCUCCUUCCA